GUGUGCGCUCUUCGCUCAAAAACAAAAUCUCUUUAGGUAUUCCUACGCUUAUUGCGGAGGUGGACUCGAAGGCUGUCAUUUCCCUUCUUUGGAAAUCAACGUCCAUCUCUCUCGAUCUUGGUGAGAUUCUCAUUCCUCGGAUUGGGAAACUGUUACGACUGUUUGUUGGUUCGGUCAAAGUCCUCGGCCAUGAAUUUCAAGAGGGUUGCGCUGAUGUUGUCUGCACUCCCGCUCCUGGGCUGCGCGGUUAUGCAAACUCUCCUUCAUCUACUGAAUCCUCAUGAUCAGUCUGCUUCGGCAGCUGGCGUCACGGACGGCGAGAAGAGCCAUACCUCGAACGAUGGCGCGAACGAGAAUGAAGACGGGGACAGCGAAGAUGGUGCUAAGCGUUCGCAGAAUGCCGUGGCGCAGAGGCAUUUCCGACAACCUCAACACAUGCGAUGCGCCUGAUGAUCGGUCCCCGGAUGGUAACUUCUUGAAGAUGAGAACCCUCUGGUCCUUUGUACUAUCGAAUCAUGUGACCUUUGUGAUUUAGCUUAUCUCGAUGAAUGCAGUGGUUUCAGUAUGAUUAUAACAUGUAUGAGCUUUCGUAUGUUUAGGGUCCUGAUAUAAUAUGAAACCAGAAAGAUUCAUGAUGAUAUGAUACGAUCUUUAUGUUUA